rnacentral:rRNA from 1 species
UGGGGAAUAUUGGACAAUGGGCGCAAGCCUGAUCCAGCCAUGCCGCGUGUGUGAAGAAGGCCUUCGGGUUGUAAAGCACUUUUGUUGGGGAAGAAAAGAUUCGGGUUAAUAACCCGGGUUCAUGACGGUACCCAAAGAAUAAGCACCGGCUAACUUCGUGCCAGCAGCCGCGGUAAUACGAAGGGUGCAAGCGUUACUCGGAAUUACUGGGCGUAAAGCGUGCGUAGGCGGUUUGUUAAGUCUGUCGUGAAAGCCCCGGGCUCAACCUGGGAAUGGCGGUGGAUACUGGCAGGCUAGAGUACGGUAGAGGAUGGUGGAAUUCCCGGUGUAGCAGUGAAAUGCGUAGAGAUCGGGAGGAACAUCUAUGGCGAAGGCAGCCAUCUGGACCAGUACUGACGCUGAGGCACGAAAGCGUGGGGAGCAAACAGG